rnacentral:rRNA from 1 species
GACGAACGCUGGCGGCGUGCCUAAUACAUGCAAGUCGAGCGAAUUUAUGGGAGCUUGCUCUCAUAAAUUAGCGGCGGACGGGUGAGUAACACGUGGGCAACCUGCCUAUAAGACUGGGAUAACUUCGGGAAACCGGAGCUAAUACCGGAUAAUUCUUUUCUACACAUGUAGGAAAGCUGAAAGACGGUUUACGCUGUCACUUAUAGAUGGGGCCCGCGGCGC